GUCCGUGACUAUACAGAUGAGGAAACGCCUUGCUCCAUACCGAACCAAGAAGCUAAGCUCAUCAUGGCUGAUGAUACUCUCCGUUACUCGGAUGUCGGGAUAGUAGGUCGUUGCGGACU
rnacentral:rRNA from 1 species